UACGUAGGUGGCAAGCGUUGUCCGGAUUUAUUGGGUUUAAAGGGUGCGUAGGCGGUUUUAUAAGUCAGUGGUGAAAUACGGCAGCUUAACUGUCGAGGUGCCAUUGAUACUGUAAGACUUGAGUACUGAUGAGGUAGGCGGAAUUGACGGUGUAGCGGUGAAAUGCUUAGAUAUGACAUAGAACACCAAUUGCGAAGGCAGCUUACUACACAAUGAUUGACGCUGAGGCACGAAAGCGUGGGGAUCAAACAGG
rnacentral:rRNA from 1 species